rnacentral:rRNA from 1 species
UGAGGAAUAUUGGUCAAUGGGCGGAAGCCUGAACCAGCCAAGUCGCGUGAGGGAAGACGGUCCUAUGGAUUGUAAACCUCUUUUGUCGGGGAGCAAGGAUCCGCACGAGUGCGGAGGCGAGAGUACCCGAAGAAAAAGCAUCGGCUAACUCCGUGCCAGCAGCCGCGGUAAUACGGAGGAUGCGAGUGUUAUCCGGAUUUAUUGGGUUUAAAGGGUGCGCAGGCGGAGGAUCAAGUCAGCGGUAAAAUAGCGGGGGCUCAACCCCGUCGAGCCGUUGAAACUGGUUUUCUAGAGUGAGCGAGAAGUAUGCGGAAUGCGUGGUGUAGCGGUGAAAUGCAUAGAUAUCACGCAGAACUCCGAUUGCGAAGGCAGCAUACCGGCGCUCAACUGACGCUCAGGCACGAAAGCGUGGGUAUCGAACAGGAUUAGAUACC